GACGAACGCUGGCGGCGUGCUUAACACAUGCAAGUCGAACGGAAAGGCCCUGCUUUUGUGGGGUGCUCGAGUGGCGAACGGGUGAGUAACACGUGAGUAACCUGCCCUUGACUUUGGGAUAACUUCAGGAAACUGGGGCUAAUACCGGAUAGGAGCUCCUGCUGCAUGGUGGGGGUUGGAAAGUUUCGGCGGGUGGGGUUGGACUCGCGGCUUAUCAGCUUGUUGGUGGGGUAGUGGCUUACCAAGGCUUUGACGGGUAGCCGGCCUGAGAGGGUGACCGGCCACAUUGGGACUGAGAUACGGCCCAGACUCCUACGGGAGGCAGAAGUGGGGAAUAUUGCACAAUGGGCGGAAGCCGGAUGCAGCAACGCCGCGUGCGGGAUGACGGCCUUCGGGUUGUAAACCGCUUUCGCCUGUGACGAAGCGUGAGUGACGGUAAUGGGUAAAGAAGCACCGGCUAACUACGUG
rnacentral:rRNA from 1 species